rnacentral:rRNA from 1 species
UGCAGUCGNNCGGCAGCACGGGAGCAAUCCUGGUGGCGAGUGGCGAACGGGUGAGUAAUAUAUCGGAACGUGCCCAGUCGUGGGGGAUAACGUAGCGAAAGCUACGCUAAUACCGCAUACGAUCUACGGAUGAAAGCGGGGGACUCGUAAGGGCCUCGCGCGAUUGGAGCGGCCGAUAUCAGAUUAGGUUGUUGGUGAGGUAAAAGCUCACCAAGCCUGCGAUCUGUAGCUGGUCUGAGAGGACGACCAGCCACACUGGAACUGAGACACGGUCCAGACUCCUACGGGAGGCAGCAGUGGGGAAUUUUGGACAAUGGACGCAAGUCUGAUCCAGCAAUGCCGCGUGCAGGACGAAGGCCUUCGGGUUGUAAACUGCUUUUGUACGGAACGAAACGGUCUGCUUUAAUACAGUGGGCUAAUGACGGUACCGUAAGAAUAAGCACCGGCUAACUACGUGCCAGCAGCCGCGGUAAUACGUAGGGUGCGAGCGUUAAUCGGAAUUACUGGGCGUAAAGCGUGCGCAGGCGGUUAUAUAAGACAGGUGUGAAAUCCCCGGGCUCAACCUGGGACCUGCAUUUGUGACUGUAUAGCUAGAGUACGGUAGAGGGGGAUGGAAUUCCGCGUGUAGCAGUGAAAUGCGUAGAUAUGCGGAGGGACACCGAUGGCGAAGGCAAUCCCCUGGACCUGUACUGACGCUCAUGCACGAAAGCGUGNGGAGCAAACAGGAUUAGAUACCCUGGUAGUCCACGCCCUAAACGAUGUCAACUGGUUGUUGGGUCUUCACUGACUCAGUAACGAAGCUAACGCGUGAAGUUGACCGCCUGGGGANUACGGCCGCANGGUUGAAACUCAAAGGAAUUGACGGGGACCNGCACAAGCGGUGGAUGAUGNGGUUUNAUUCGAUGCANCGCGAAAAACCUUACCCACCUUUGAC